ACCUCUCAAAAUGAUAUAUGUUAAAUUAGAAGGUAAAAAUGUUGUGCCCUUCUCAGAAAGUGAAGAAAAGUUGUAUGUAAGUGUAGUGAAAACAUAUGCAUGAAUGAUUGUCUUAACCCACUGAUUACAGAUAGUCUUUGAUUUGUACUUGCUAAAAGAGUCCUGAAUUGAGUUCCCCAGCUAGUGAGUCACUGUUUUCAAGGCUGUUUACCACAUUAGAGUCCAUAAACUUGGUCAGCCUGAAAACUCGAUUACAAGAUGUAAGCUAUUCUGCCCUGUGGCUUUAAGCACAUGGUUAAAAUAUAUUUAAGUCUCUGCUUCUAGAAAUGCUUUCAGAUUUUCUUUUUAAACUUCAUGUUACUUAUUUCAGCUUGCCAUCUUAAUGAUUAAUGCAGUAAAUUGCUAAGUUAUGACCCUGCUAUCACCAGGAUUCAUUUAAGUAAAAGGCAAUUCAAAGCUGUAUUGCACUCCCCCAUACCUAAUGUUUUAAUGCUGUUUACUGAUGGGUCGAGUAAACAUGGACAAGUGGCAGUUUGGUAGAGACCACAUAAUCCAGUCACUCAAUCUAAGUUUACUAGCACUGAGAGCUGAGAUUACUCUGUAUGUUUAUUAAAGCACUUUUACAGCCUCAAUUAAGUUCACUCUGGAGCCCACUCUGUGUGCUCUUUUUCUCCAGCCUCAGCAAUUGCUAGACCAAUGUACACAUCUUAUUUUUAUUACACACAUUGGACCCCACAGCUCACUGCCUGGCCCAUCGGCUUAUAGCAAUGAUGAUCAAGCAGACCUUCAAGUUAUGACAUUACUACUUGACUAAGCCACUCAAUCGCAUCUGUUUUUCCACCAAAAUUGGAAAAACUUAUCUAAACAACUUCAACUUACCCAGAGGCUGGCUAAACAAAUUAUCUACAAUACCCAGAUUGCCAGCUCACAGGCACAUCCCCUCCUUCAACAAGUGUUAACCCUACAGGAUUGGAACCCAAUCAGUUAUGGCAAACAGAUAUUACACACAUUCUUGAAUUUGGAAAACUAAGAUAUGUGCAUGUAUCCAUUGAUAUGAGUGUACCAACACUCAUUUAAUUAAUGCACAUG
rnacentral:lncRNA from 1 species